rnacentral:rRNA from 1 species
AACGCGAAGAACCUUACCAAGGCUUGACAUAUAGCGAAAAGUGGCAGAGAUGUCAUGUCCGCAAGGGCGCUAUACAGGUGGUGCAUGGUUGUCGUCAGCUCGUGUCGUGAGAUGUUGGGUUAAGUCCCGCAACGAGCGCAACCCUCGUUCUGUGUUACCAGCAUUCAGUUGGGGACUCACAGGAGACUGCCGGGGUCAACUCGGAGGAAGGUGGGGAUGACGUCAAAUCAUCAUGCCCCUUAUGUCUUGGGCUGCACGCGUGCUACAAUGGCCGGUACAAAGUGCUGCGAGAUCGUAAGAUUGAGCGAAUCACAUAAAGCCGGUCUCAGUUCGGAUUGAGGUCUGCAACUCGACCUCAUGAAGUCGGAGUUGCUAGUAAUCGUAGAUCAGCAACGCUACGGUGAAUACGUUCCCGGGUCUUGUACACACCG